rnacentral:rRNA from 1 species
UACGUAGGGGGCGAGCGUUGUCCGGAAUUAUUGGGCGUAAAGAGCGUGUAGGCGGUUCGGUAAGUCUGCCGUGAAAACCUGGGGCUCAACCUCGGGCGUGCGGUGGAUACUGCCGGGCUAGAGGGUGGUAGAGGCGAGUGGAAUUCCCGGUGUAGCGGUGAAAUGCGCAGAUAUCGGGAGGAACACCAGUAGCGAAGGCGGCUCGCUGGGCCAUUCCUGACGCUGGGACGCGAAAGCUAGGGGAGCGAACAGG